GUGGAAGUUCGAUCCCAUUUUCGUCCUCAGUCGUGUUUCGAUAACUUGACACUGAUAAAAUUACACAGUACAGGUAAUCGAAAUGCAAGUUUAGUUCGUAUUCGAGAUUUACUUUUAUAAAAUAACUGAGCUACUACUCGCGCUCUCAUUGGUAGAUAGGUGUGUUUACAUGAGAGUAUGUAAACACGGUUGUGUCGUUUCAGAUAAUGGAGUUGAUUUUAAGUCUUUUUUUUCUUUACUGAUAUCAGGCCUGAAAGAAGAAUUUACAUUAUCGAUAAACUCUAUUACAAUCGAUAUCUUGAGAUGACAGCAAGCGCUUUGUGUUCAGACCAAAACUUUUUUGACUUCGAGCUUUUUAUAGACUACAAAAAUAGUGUGCGCGAGAAUCACAUGAUCAAUCUCGAAAGUCACGCGAACGAUCGCGAAGGUCACGCUAUGCGGGUGUGGGAAGGUCACGCGAUCCAUGAUCCAGGUGUGAGAAGGUCUUUGAACUGGUCGCAUGUCAUGGCAUCAGUACCGAUCUCUUGUCAAAACAGAGAUGGAAGACAAAGUAGCCUAUAAGCAGUCAUAGCUGAUGAAUAAUAAGUUUCUGCGUUGUCGCUGAUCACAGCGACAACGCAGAAACCUCCAGUUAAUUUUCCGCGUUUUGUUUACGCGCCUCCGAGAAAAUACCGAGAACUCCUUUCGUGGAAAAGUCGUGUUAGGGAUCGUCGAAAAUGCCUGCCGAGUGUUAACCGAAGAUUACCCGAUCAUUUAUUUGCAUCGCGUGAUCACCCGGGCGCUCGGGCGUGAAAUGCGAUUUUGCACCGCAUCACCGCGAUCAUCGAUUUGCGAAACCGGUGAGCACAGAGGGCAAUAUAACUCGUUGACCUGACUUAGUCCUCGAAGGUGAUAAUCAUUUACAUCUCGUAACUGCCUUCAACAAGUGAGACGUGCUUCGCUCAGUUGACUAGGAGGACACUGAGUCUAUAGAAGAGAAACAAGACGGCCAGGACAUCGACGAUAGCAACAUGGCCGACCCAGUGAGAUUGAGUGCCCCGGAUGUGUACAAAGACUAUGCUGUCAGGAGGCGCAGCUUUGAUGAUGCCCAGAGUCGUUUAAAAUGCAGAAAGCUUCUUGGAAUCGGAGGAAAGGAACCUUCGAAGGUAUGUAUUAAAUAGGACGCGUAGGAUACGGUAAUAAAACGGCCGGGUUAUUUUUUUCGCGCGCUUUCGAAACGCAGCCUCGUUGUUACAAUGUACUGUCGCCGUGCGCUCACCGCACUUUGAAUAAGUUUCCUUUCUCAUUAUAAUAUUCAUUUGUCAAGCUGUAAAUCCUGACAUGGGUCUUGCUUUGAUGAUUACUUUGGCCGUACUGGCUCAGCUCAACCGAAGAAAUUUUCAUUCCUCGUGCACUUUCCAAAUCUCAAGCGAACGUAAUUCGCUCGUUUGUGCUAAGAGAAGAAAUGAUUUUUUUGUUGUUGUUUUUUGUAUUUUUCUGUCCUUUUCCAUUCACACAAUGACCUUGUCAGAGGCUAUGAGUGUUUGACAGAACUUUUGCUUUUGAAAUGACUCUCCGAAUAUUAGUAUCAGAUUAGAGAACGUUUUCAAGCGUGUUUUCUUACGUUUUGUCUAAGGAAAAAAAAGGCCCGUGUUCGCUAACUAUCGUCGCCGCUACGGCAGCUGUAUUCAUGAUUUUCACCAUAUCGCUUGGGGUUUCAAGCUGUACUUGAUUACAUUAUUUGUUCUCUGAUAAAUGAGAAUAUUGCUGUGCAUUGGCGGCUUGUGAAUAAAUUCACCAGGAUGUACGAGAGUUUAUUGUUCUAAAUAUUAUUAUCAUUUUGCUUUGAAUAGAGCAUGGCGUUCUCUUCAAGGAACCCCGUGCUCGAUCUGUUUCAAGAUUUCUCAAAACUGCAGGAAGACCCUAUAAACUGGCUAACAAUAGCCAAACUUUUGUUUGGUAAAUAAUGUUACAAACUUCUUCGAUGUUUCGCAUGUGUCAUUAACAUGUUGUCGAGAACAUUAAACCAAAACCGCGAAUUUUGAACUCAAUGCGCCCAAGUUCAUAACCAGUGUCUCGCAAAGAUUUUCAGCCAGGUUAAUAUGCAUUCAGGUUUUUAAUCGAAAAAAGUGACAGCGCAGAAUUAGAAAAAGGCCAACUAGCGCAUCCUAUUAAGCUAGAAAUACAUAAAUAUACAAUUGUUUUACUUUCUUGACAUCCCUUGCCUUUGUGUGUUUAUUUUUUUUCCCCUUGCAGUACAGUUUCUUUAGAUCAAAAGCCUGAAAUAUUUACAGCUUGUCUUUUCUGUGACAUGGCUGUCGUUUUUUUUUCUUAAUCUAGACUAUCUUACUUAGUUUAAUGUCUGAAAAUUUUAAGUUUCAAACUUUAAAAAAAAUGAAAACAGGAAAUCUUGGUUUUCGUCCGGUUUGACAAUGAGUGAAAUUUCAAUUUUGUAUCAAAAGAGAGCUUUUAAGAGAGCUUUUUAUAGCUACCAAACAAUAGUACAUUUCUUUUUGAAUUGCUAACUAAUAACUCUGUCUUUUAAUUCAUGGACAGAGAUCACCCCAGGGCAGAUAUGAGAUAAAAAGUGCGAUUUUGUCCCACAGUUUUUUUAUUACUUGUCGAUAAUAGUAUUUAUUUUUUUCUUUCAAACCGGAUUUCUACCUUUUACCUUUUGUCUCAGCGAUGUAAAUCUCUUUAAGUCGAUCGCUGAUUGAAGGUCUAAGUAAUAAUUCACAUUAGUGAUUCCUCUUGAAAGUGGUGUUUACGGCCACUUAAACCUGCUUAUGUACUCGCCAAAGCUUUCGCAAAGGUGUGCUUUCAGCCGUGCGGUUUUAUUUUGUGUUUGUGCCACCUUGAGGUUUAGACAGAGAGUUGACACCUUGAUUAUGCCUGUUUUGUGUUGACACUGUAUUUACGUAGCGAUACGUCUGUAUACACGGCUGUAGUUCUUUUAAUGACGAAGUUCAUUUGACUUUUUGAUGCCAAAAAUCGCUGAAAUGAUCUGAAUUCAAACAAAGAUAUCACUCACACCUGCUAACGACCGUAAACCCCAACAUUAUCAUGUUUUGAGAGAAUCAUAGCGCCCUCUGUUGGGAAUUUCCUAAAACGGUUGAACUCGUGGAAUUCGUUAACGCGUUUGCAACUAACGAAGUUUCGCUUAUUUAUGUUGGCUUUUUUGUUGUUGCGUAUUAAACAUUAGUUGGCUUCACACCUGAAGCAGUAAGCAGUUGACUCAAGUGCACUUGAAAAUCUCAAGUCGCACUUUAAUUUAGAGCUUAGCACCUGAUGGCAAAGAGACAAACUAACUUCCGAGUUAGGAUUUCGAGUUGGAUUUUCGAGUUAGGAUUUC
rnacentral:misc_RNA from 1 species